AACGUAGGACGCAAGCGUUAUCCGGAGUUACUGGGCGUAAAGCGCGGCAGGCGGCUCGAAACGUCUGAUGUGAAAUCUCCUCGCUCAACGGGGAGAGGCCAUUGGAAACGGUCGAGCUGGAGGGCAGUAGAGGUAGGCGGAAUUCCGGGUGGAGUGGUGAAAUGCGUAGAGAUCCGGAGGAACACCAGUGGCGAAGGCGGGCAUCUGGGCCAACACUGACGCUGAGGCGCGAAAGCUAGGGAGCAAACAGG
rnacentral:rRNA from 1 species